rnacentral:pre_miRNA from 1 species
AGUGAUAUAGCUUGGUCAUAGGUGGUUCCAUUUCUAGUCUUUUGAGGAAUCUCCAUACUGCUUUCCAAAGUGGUUGUACCAAUUUGCAGUCCCGCCAGCAAU